rnacentral:misc_RNA from 1 species
UCACACCUUACGGUGGCAGUGUCCCCAGAGUGCCCAGCUUCACCUGAUGGCAACUAAGGAGAGGGGUUGCGCUCGUUAUGGCACUUAAGCCGACACCUCACGGCACGAGCUGACGACAACCAUGCAGCACCUUCACAGAGGCCCCGAAGGGCGUCAUUGUCUCCAAAUCCUUCCUCUGCAAUUCAAGCCCGGGUAAGGUUCCUCGCGUAUCAUCGAAUUAAACCACAUGUUCCUCCGCUUGUGCGGGCCCCCGUCAAUUCCUUUGAGUUUCACCGUUGCCGGCGUACUCCCCAGGUGGGAUGCUUAAUGCUUUCGCUUGGCCGCUGACCUAUUCAGACCAACAGCGGGCAUCCAUCGUUUACCGUGCGGACUAC